rnacentral:rRNA from 1 species
UACGGGGGGGGCAAGCGUUGUUCGGAAUUACUGGGCGUAAAGGGCUCGUAGGCGGCCAACUAAGUCGGAUGUGAAAUCCCCAGGCUUAACCUGGGAACUGCAUCCGAUACUGGAUGGCUUGAAUCCGGGAGAGGGAUGCAGAAUUCCAGGUGUAGCGGUGAAAUGACGUAGAUAUCUGGAGGAAUACCGGUGGCGAAGGCGGCAUCCUGGACCGGCAU